AAAGGUGCAGAUUGUUUUUUUUUUUUUAUUGUGACAAACAAUAAUUAAGUUGAAAAAAACAGAAAUCUGGAGUGUGCAUAGGUAUUCACCCCCUUUUGUAUGAAACCCCUAAAUAAGAGCUGGUCCAACCAAUUCACUUCAUAAGUCACAUAAUUAGUUGAUUAAGAUCCACCUGUGUGCAAUCAAAAUGUCACAUGAUCUGUCACAUGAUGUCUGUAUAAAUCAACCUGUCUGGAAGGACCCUGACUCAGGAGAUGGAGACAGCUGUGGGUUGAUUUCUGGUUUGCUUUGUUGGCUCUGGUGGGAACAAACAAAGAGCCAGGCGGUUGUGUGGGCUGGAUGGCUGAGAUGAGUGGAGGAAGUGUCGUAAAGGCGGUUGGUGACAACUGGACUGGGAAUGGUCAGAAGUUUGCAAAGGGAAGUGAUGUUUCAGGAAGUGAGUGUGAGGAAAUGGAAGAAAGUGGGAGUUAUGAACCAUGGAUGAUAACUAAGGGUAAAAAGCGGAAAAAAAGGAGAAAACAAAUAACAGUAAUGAGGAGGAAAGGUGUAUGCCUAAUGUUGUGGAAAGGAGUAGAGUGGAGUAUAGAGUGUUUGUAAGAUUGAUUAAUGAGGGAUCUACAUUUGAUGAGUGGAGUCCAAUAAAACUAACCAAAGCACUGCAUAGGGAGUUUGGUUAGGUAAGAAGUGCCAAAAAAUUAAGAAAUGGUUGUCUACUGAUUACAUGUAAGGAUGAAGAGCAGCAAAGAAAUGCAAUCAAAGUUAAUAAAAUAAAUGGUAACAAAGUCAAGUGUUCGGUGGUGUUUGACAAUCCUGUAAGGGGUGUAAUCUCAGGGAUCCUGUUAAGGGAAUCAGUGGAUGAUGUCAAAGAAAAUAUAACUAAUGCCAAGGUAAAGGAAGCAAAGCGGCUGAAAACAAGACGAGGUGGAAUUAUAACUGAUAGCCUUUCAAUUGUGCUAACAUUUGAAGGAAAACUUCCUGAGAGGGUAUUCAUAGGAUACAUGAGUUAUGAAGUAAAGAUGUAUAUCCCACCACCACUAAGAUGCUUUAAGUGCCAAAAGUUUGGACAUAUAGCUGCAGUAUGUAAGGGGAAACAAAGGUGUAGCAAGUGCAGUGGAGAGCAUGAAUAUGGGCAGUGCGACAAGGACGCAAAGUUAAAAUGUAGUAAUUGGGAGGGGGGGAACACAGCUCUGCCUGCAGAGGAUGUGAAGUGAGCAAGAGAAUGCAAGAGGUACAGCGGCUCAAAGUAACUCAAGGAUUAUCAUAUGCAGAAGCAGUAAAGACUGUUAAAAGGGUAGUAGCAGGUCCAGCCCCAGUUGUGAAAGAGGGGAGGCCAUGUGUAAAGUGUGACAAAAUUAAAGAGGAAACACUGUGUCUAAAAGUAAUUUUAUAUUGUUCAUGGCUGAGGUUAUCAAUUGUUCAGCACAGACUACAAGCUGAACAGAGAAAAUUAAAAUUAUAGUCAAAUCUGCUGAGAAAUUAUUGGAUCUAAAAGAACUGCUGUGGGAAUCAGUCAGGGAUACUUUAAAUGAAGAGGUACAUCUCAAGUAUGGGUUGGCUCAGGAUAAUGGUCUUGUUUAUAUUGCAAUGGAAUGCGAGGAGCUUAAUAGCGAACAGGCAAGAAUUUAAAAAAUAUAGAUAAUUUAAGUAUAAAACCUAAUGUUAUAUGCAUACAGGAAACUUGGUUGAUCCCCAAACUGGAUUUUAUUAUUAAAGGAUAUACUUUAAUAAGGAGGGAUAGAGAAUCUGGAAAAGGUGGAGGAGUUAUAAUAUUCAUACAAAAAGGUAUUCAAUAUAGGGAAAUUACAAGAGGGAAAGAGCUAGAAUACACUAUAAUAGAGGUCUGGUCAAAUGAAGGCAAUAUAGAAAUAAUAAAUUACUAUAACCCAUGUAGGCAAAUAGAAUUAAGUCAAUUGGCAGAAAUUUGGAAAGAUACAAAGGGGAGAGUGGUAUGGUGUGGUGACUUUAAUGCACAUAGUACAUUGUGGGGGGAUAAGAAUGAUGUUAAUGGGGAUGUGAUUUUAGAAUUUAUGGAUGAGGAAGAAUUAGUUUGUUUGAAUAAUGGGUCAUAGGCCGUAAGGUGAACCCCGAAAAGUCUUUCAGAAACAAGAUUCCGCUCCGACGUCUCCGAACUACAUAAUAUCCAAUUCUUAAAAAUGGACGUAUUAUGAAAUGAUGUCAUCAAAAAGUUCUCACCUUGUAAUGCUGUCAAUUUUUCGCACGAAGGCUUGAAAAAGCGAACUGUCAUCGGCGCGGAAUGAUAUUUUGGCACCGCGGAAUAAGAUUUCGCUACAGAACAGGUUCCACGGUUGCUGACGUAUCCCAUAAACACCCGCGACGUAGCCCCAUUUCGUGAACAAGAGACCAACAUGGCAGCCGCCACAGCCUCGUCUAGCAGCAGUGGAGGAGAGGAAAGUUUGGAAAUAACGGCAAAAAGGAGAAAACUUCUUGCACGUAAGCAGUGCUAUAUGCAUAUAGCUUCUGUGAAGCACGGAGUGACCCAGGAAUUUACCUUCAAACGGUGGAAUACAUACCGGGACAGUAUCCGACAGUGGCUGCAGGAUGCUGCCUUCCACCCUGCAUGUUACCGCAGGUUUACGGACAAACUUGCUAUUGAAUGAGCGGGAAAGCGUAUGGUGCGCGAGAAAGAAGGGGGAGAUGAAACUCAAGACGCCGCAAGACCCCCCGAAGCUGCCCCCCCGAAGCUGGCCCCUCAACAUCGGGCAGCACUAAGAGUCUUAGAUCCAGGUCAGCACUGCCUAUGUCCAGCUCAGGUCCUGUCCUUCCUUCCCUGUGCAUUAUAUGUAAAAAAAAAAAACAACUCAAAUUCGUCUUAAAGGGUGACAAACGACAAAGGGAAGCUCUUUCAAAAGCUGAGACCUUAACAGCAGGCAAGUUGCAGACUGCUGCUGAGACUAAAGAUGACCACAGUAUUCUGGUACACAUUAAGGACAAAGACUGUGUGGCUCUGGAGGUGCAGUACCACAAGAGCUGCUACCAGCAGUACACCAGAUUUUUGAAUGAGCCUGCUAGACAAGAGAAGGACAAGUCAUUGCCUGGAUGCUGACCCCUGCCUUUUUGCACCGUGCCACAGGACUUUUU